rfam:Bombyx mori DNA, contig: Bm_scaf14398_contig59608, strain: p50T/Dazao, build 2, whole genome shotgun sequence.
GGGGGCGUUGCUCAGAUGGUAAAGUGCUCACUUAGCAUGCGAGAAGUACCGGGAUCGAUACCCGACGCCUCCG